UCAGGACGAACGCUGGCGGCACGCUUAACACAUGCAAGUCGAACGGAGUAUCGAGAGCUUGCUUUUGAUAACUUAGUGGCGGACGGGUGAGUAACACGUGAGCAAUCUGCCCUUAAGAGGGGGAUAGCAGUUGGAAACGACUGAUAAUACCGCAUAAGAUAGUAGUACCGCAUGGUACAGCUAUAAAAGAUUUAUCGCUUAAGGAUGAGCUCGCGUCUGAUUAGCUAGUUGGUGAGGUAACGGCUCACCAAGGCAACGAUCAGUAGCCGGACUGAGAGGUUGGACGGCCACAUUGGGACUGAGACACGGCCCAGACUCCUACGGGAGGCAGCAGUGGGGAAUAUUGCACAAUGGAGGAAACUCUGAUGCAGCGAUGCCGCGUGAGGGAAGAAGGUUUUAGGAUUGUAAACCUCUGUUGACAGGGACGAUAAUGACGGUACCUGUUGAGGAAGCUCCGGCUAACUACGUGCCAGCCGCAGC
rnacentral:rRNA from 1 species